rnacentral:ncRNA from 1 species
GAGGGUAGGCCCCUCGGACUCGAUCACCAGAGAUCGGGGCCAAACCGCCCUAUGCGGCUUUCAUUAAGAGUGAUGGUCGUGAGCGAUAGGGAAAAGGCAGAAAGAAACCUGUCAGGU